UGAAGCAGGUCAAGCUACCAUUGUGAAGGGUU
rnacentral:piRNA from 1 species